AUGGGAAGGACUAGAGAUCUCUUCAAGAAAAUUAGAGAUACCAAGGGAACAUUUCAUGCAAAGAUGGGCUCAGUAAAGGAAAAAAAUGGUAUGGACCUAACAGAAGCAGAAGAUAUUAAGAAGAGGUGGCAAGAAUACACGGAAGAACUGUACAAAAAAAAUCUUAAAGACCAAGGUAAUCAUGAUGGUAUGAUCACUCACCUAGAGCCAGACAUCCUGGAACGUGAAGUCAAGAGGGCCUUAGAAACCAUCACUAUGAACAAAGCUAGUGGAGGUGAUGGAAUUCCAGUGGAGCUACCUCAAAUCCUGAAAGAUGAUGCUGUGAAAGUGCUGCACUCAAUAUGCCAGCAAAUUUGGAAAACUCAGCAGUGGCCACAGGACUGGAAAAGGUCCGUUUUCAUUCCAAUCCCAAAGAAAGGCAAUGCCAAAGAAUGCUCAAACUACCACACAAUUACACUCAUCUCACAUGCUAGUAAAGUCAUGCUCAAAAUUCUCCAAGCCAGGCUUCAGCAAUACAUGAAUCGCGAACUUCCAGAUGUUCAAGCUGGUUUUAGAAAAGGCAGAGAAACCAGAGAUCAAAUUGCCAACAUCUGCUGGAUCAUGGAAAAAGCGAGAGAGUUCCAGAAAAACACCUAUUUCUGCUUUAUUGACUACGCCAAAGCUUUUGACUGUGUGGAUCACAAUAAACUGUGGAAAAUUCUGAAAGAGAUGGGAAUGCCAGACCACCUGACCUGCCUCUUGAGAAACCUAUAUGCAGGUCAGGAAGCUACAGUUAGAACUGGCCAUGGAACAACAGACUGGUUCCAAAUAGGAAAAGGAGUACGUCAAGGCUGUAUAUUGUCACCCUGCUUAUUUAACUUCUAUGCAGAGCACAUCAUGAGAAACGCUGGGCUGGAAGAAGCACAAGCUGGAAUCAAGAUUGCUGGGAGAAAUAUCAAUAACCUCAGAUAUGCAGAUGACACCACCCUUAUGGCAGAAAGUGAAGAGGAACUAAAGAGCCUCUUGAUGAAAGUGAAAGAGGAGAGUGAAAAAGUUGGCUUAAAGCUCAACAUUCAGAAAACGAAGAUCAUGGCAUCCGGUCCCAUCACUUUAUGGGAAAUAGAUGGGGAAACAGUGGAAACAGUGUCAGACUUUAUUUUUUGGGCUCCAAAAUCACUGCAGAUGGUGACUGCAGCCAUGAAAUUAAGCUUACUCCUUGGAAGAAAAGUUAUGACCAACCUAGAUAGCAUAUUGAAAAGCAGAGAUAUUACUUUGCCAACAAAGGUCCGUCUACUCAAGGCUAUGGUUUUUCCAGUGGUCAUGUAUGGAUGUGAGAGUUGGACUGUGAAGAAAGCUGAGCGCCAAAGAAUUGAUGUUUUGAACUGUGGUGUUGGAGAAGACUCUUGA
rnacentral:lncRNA from 1 species